rfam:Glossina pallidipes unplaced genomic scaffold Scaffold64, whole genome shotgun sequence.
GGAGCUUUUUAGUACGUAUGCGCCAGGGAAGGCGAAUCGUCCAUGCUGCUACUAAGAACCAGCAGUAUCUUUUGAAGAUUUUCUACC